AGGCUACUGGGCUCACUCAAUCGAUCCUAGCCCACUCCAGCACCUCUGUCAGGCGAGUCCACAAACCCUCCGCUCCGUAGCCCGCACACCCCUUCAUCACACAAGCGCUCGCCGGAGAGGAGAAGGGACGAAACCCUAGCUUGUGGCGGCGGCGGCGGAGAAGGAGAAGAUGAUUUACGACGUGAACUCGCCCCUCUUCCGCUCCUUUCUCAGCCAGAAGGGCGGCGCCGACAAGAGGAAAAUGGAGGAGCAUAAACCAAAGGAACAGAGGCCCAAGGCCAACGAGAACAAGCCUGUGAUGAACGAAUGAAAAUAUCCAGAAGCUCCAUUCAUUAGACCCGUGGCGAAUCUCAAUGUGUGUUUGCUCUGUUUAGCUUUAACCCAACGCCUCCUAUAAUCUUAGCCAUGUCCUAGUUUCCUCUUAUAGUCUUAAUCGCUACGGUUGAACAUGGUGACAGUGCAACGGACAUGAAACUUGAACUACCUAUGGGACUAUGAUCAAUUGGAGACACCCAUGAUUGACAACUUUUCAGCAGCGCCUCCUGAUAUUGCCGUUGUGGUUGGUACAGAAUUGUGGGGCGCCACCAUGUUCAUGCCUGCUUUUCCACCUCCCCUGCCUCUACCCUCCAACUUUAUAUAGUAUCUAGAGUCAGGAAGGUGUAAAAGUGGUUCUUAGGCCGGAUCUUCAGCCCGUUGCAUUGCAUGGAAUCCGAAGUCUUCAAAUUAUGUUCAUCGAAUCAUGA